rnacentral:rRNA from 1 species
GACGAACGCUGGCGGCGUGCUUAACACAUGCAAGUCGAACGGUGAAGCGCCUUCCUUUUUGGUGGGUGUGGUUGAGUGGCGAACGGGUGAGUAACACGUGAGUAACCGGCCCCCUUCUUCUGGAUAACCGCAUGAAAGUGUGGCUAAUACGGGAUAUUCUGGGUCUGUCGCAUGAUGGUUCUGGGAAAGAUAUUGUUUCGGUGGGGGAUGGGCUCGCGGCCUAUCAGCUUGUUGGUGGGGUGAUGGCCUACCAAGGCGGUGACGGGUAGCCGGCCUGAGAGGGUGGACGGUCACACUGGGACGGAGACACGGCCAAGACUCCUACGGGAGGCAGCAGUGGGGAAUAUUGCACAAUGGGCGCAAGCCUGAUGCAGCGACGCCGCGUGAGGGAUGGAGGCCUGCGGGUUGUGAACCUCUUUCGCCAGUGAAGCAGGCCUGCCUCGUUUGUGGGUGGGUUGACGGUAGCUGGAUAAGAAGCGCCGGCUAACUACGUG